UCUUCAAUAAAUGUUUAUAGAGUAAAUGAAUAAACUCGAAUCCUUGAGUUUGGUGUCUCCUGGAUUAACCUGGCUUGUUUUCUUGUCCACUUAAUCCUGAUCUUUGUUUUCAGAGUCAAGGCUCCUUGUUUGACACAGCCAUCUAUUUCUUUUUCUUUCUUUCUUUCUUUUUUUUUUUUUUUUUGGUCUUUGUUGUGUAAAAUCCAUCAUUGGCUUUCAGUCCCAUUGGCAGUUAUCUGUUUUGAUUUUGCUUCUCCUUCUUUAAUACUUAGUAUAACCUUGACCUGAAGAUCUUGUUUUCCAGAUCUUAGUCCACAGCCUCAGUUUUUCUUGUUUCUGGCUGAAUGCCUCAAGAUAGGUGGGCUGAAAUAUACCGCUAGAAUCAUUCACUCUAGCGUUUCUCUGCCAGCUCUGCUAGUUACUAGCUUAUGAUUGUCAAACCACAGUUCCAGAUCUGACCCUUAAGCUGUGGAUUUAAUGCUGCCAUACAGUGUGUAAUGAAAUAGCAUGACCCAGUAAACAAUGGGACCAAACUAGCUGUUAUUUAAGACAAGCUGUCACCCAUCUAACGAUAACAGUGUAUCUGUAGCAUCUGUCAGACCAGUUCUUUGUUCAUUGGAUAAGUUUUUUCCUGAAUUGCUGUAAUAGUCAAUUUUAGAAAUGCAUUUUUUUAAAACCAACUACACACCCCUCCCCAAUAAAUUGAUAGAUGUGCCUGGUUUUUUCUUUGCCACCUUGUCUUUUAAAAAUAUCUUUUUUUUAAGACCUUAUUCUUAGCAUCUCUUAAAUCAAAGACUGUACCUUGGAUCAGAAGACUGUGUGAGCCGUUGUUCCUCUGUCAGUUUGUAAGGAGCACUGACCUUUGACAGAGCCUCUCCACAGUCCCCACUCCUCUGAUGGAUAAGACUCUACAACAAUACAGUAGAAGUUUUUCUGAAAAUUUCCAGUGUUUUAUGUGUUAAGUUAUUACGCAUACUGAUAAGCAUCAUUUUAUUAUUUAAAAAAAUAUAUUUGUCAUUUACUAGACCUUGAUCUCAGGUUUUCAUAAGCUGGUAUAUAAAUUUUCUUCACUUCAUUAAUUUGCAUCUACAUUGGCAGAGAACAUUAAUUGGUUUCUUGCUAUUCAAUACAUUCUUUGGCUAUUAAAAUAAUUUAUAGCCUAAUUUGGAACCACUGGAUGGAGGUAGUAUUUUUCCUUAUAUUUCUCCUAUGUGUUAGUUAAAACUUUAAUAAGCACUUUUUUGGUGAUUUUAUUUUCUCCAUGUAUAUCUUCUGAGUUUUGCUUCUCUUUAAGCUGUAAAAGGCAAAAUGGAAUCAUCAUGUUCUUUAAAAUGCCACCUGAAAUUGUUUAUCAUCUAAAUUCACCGUAAACUAAGAAAAUUUGUUUGACACAUCAAAUAAAAGUCUAAGAAAAAUUGUCUAAUAGUGGACAAGCAGGAAAGGAAGUUGGGGUAGGUGGUAAUGGUACCAGAAAUGUGAAUUUUUAGUUAUCUACCUGGUGAUGCUAAACUGUUUAAGACCUGUGGCCAACUUUGAAUCUUUGAUAAUAAAAAUGUAUUUUAAAUUGAUCCAGAAAAGUCCAUAGAUAUGAAUUUUCUUUGUGUUAGUACAUUACUGGCAGGAAAGGCUAAAAAUAUAAGUUUCACUGUGAGAGUAAAGAUUGAUUAAAGUUUCAUUUUUUUAAAGUCUUCA